UACAGAGGGUGCGAGCGUUGUUCGGAAUUAUUGGGCGUAAAGCGCAUGUAGGCGGCCUGUUAAGUCGCGUGUGAAAGCUCCAGGCUCAACCUGGAAAGUGCGCGCGAAACUGGCGGGCUUGAAUGCCGGAGAGGGUGGCGGAAUUCCCGGUGUAGAGGUGAAAUUCGUAGAUAUCGGGAGGAACACCAGAGGCGAAGGCGGCCACCUGGACGGACAUUGACGCUGAGACGCGAAAGCGUGGGGAGCAAACAGG
rnacentral:rRNA from 1 species